rnacentral:rRNA from 1 species
GGGCCCGCACAAGCGGUGGAGCAUGUGGUUUAAUUCGAUGAUACGCGAGGAACCUUACCAGGGCUUAAAUGUUAGGUGACAGAUCUAGAAAUAGAUUUUUCUUCGGACACUUAACAAGGUGCUGCAUGGUUGUCGUCAGCUCGUGCCGUGAGGUGUCAGGUUAAGUCCUAUAACGAGCGCAACCCCUGUUGUUAGUUGCCAGCGAGUAAUGUCGGGAACUCUAGCAAGACUGCCAGUGCAAACUGUGAGGAAGGUGGGGAUGACGUCAAAUCAUCACGGCCCUUACGUCCUGGGCUACACACGUGCUACAAUGGUAGGUACAGAGAGCAGCCAAUGCGCGAGCAUGAGCAAAUCUAUAAAACCUAUCUCAGUUCGGAUCGGAGUCUGCAACUCGCCUACGUGAAGGAGGAAUCGCUAGUAAUCGCAGGU